AUGCCGGACGCCGACGCCGGCUCGCUGCUCGCCCACCCUUCCUCCUCCACCUCGUCGACGUUCUCUUCCUGCUCGCCACCGCGGCCGAUGGAGUCGACGGCUUCCUUCUUCGCGGCGCUCGCGUACGUCCACGAGGAGCGCCGCCUCCGUCUUCCUCGCUUGCCGUCGGCGACCUUGCUGGUCGCCGCCUGUCUUCUUCUCGACGCACGCACGUGUUCACGAGGAGCGUCGCGCUGUCUUCCUCACGAGCGGUCGGCAACCACCCAGCUUCAUCAGAGCGCCGCCGCCGUCUUCCUCGCCUCCCGUCGGCGACCACCCAUGUGA
rnacentral:rRNA from 1 species